GUGGGGAAUUUUGGACAAUGGGCGCAAGCCUGAUCCAGCAAUGCCGCGUGCAGGAAGAAGGCCUUCGGGUUGUAAACCGCUUUUGUCAGGGAAGAAAUCCUUUGGGUUAAUACCUCGGAGGGAUGACGGUACCUGAAGAAUAAGCACCGGCUAACUACGUGCCAGCAGCCGCGGUAAUACGUAGGGUGCGAGCGUUAAUCGGAAUUACUGGGCGUAAAGCGUGCGCAGGCGGUUUUGUAAGAUCGAUGUGAAAUCCCCGGGCUCAACCUGGGAACUGCAUUGGUGACUGCAAGGCUGGAGUGCGGCAGAGGGGGAUGGAAUUCCGCGUGUAGCAGUGAAAUGCGUAGAUAUGCGGAGGAACACCGAUGGCGAAGGCAAUCCCCUGGGCCUGCACUGACGCUCAUGCACGAAAGCGUGGGGAGCAAACAGGAUUAGAUACCCCGGUAGUCC
rnacentral:rRNA from 1 species